rnacentral:lncRNA from 1 species
AGAAUUUUUGUUGAUAGAUGAGUAUUUUUUUAGAAUUUUUUAUCAAUAGGUUGUAUUUUUUAAAUAAAAUACUAAAAAAAUCUAUUUUAGGAAAGUUUACAUUUUCAUUGGGAAAUAUUGUAAAUUUGAGGUUGUGAUUUAGAAAUUGAGAUAACAAGAAUUUUUUUUGAUAGAUGAGUAUUUUUUUUAGAAUUUUUUAUCAAUAUGUUGUAUUUUUAAAAUAAAAUACUCAAAAAUCUAUUUUAGGAAAGUUUUCA